rnacentral:rRNA from 1 species
GGGGAAUAUUGGACAAUGGGCGAAAGCCUGAUCCAGCAAUGCCGCGUGAGUGAUGAAGGCCUUAGGGUUGUAAAGCUCUUUUGCCCGGGAUGAUAAUGACAGUACCGGGAGAAUAAGCCCCGGCUAACUCCGUGCCAGCAGCCGCGGUAAUACGGAGGGGGCUAGCGUUGUUCGGAAUUACUGGGCGUAGAGCGCACGUAGGCGGCUUUGCAAGUUAGAGGGGAAAGCCCGGGGCUCAACCCCGGAAUUGACUUUAAGACUGCAUCGCUCGAAUCCAGGAGAGGUGAGUGGAAUUCCGAGUGUAGAGGUGAAAUUCGUAGAUAUUCGGAAGAACACCAGUGGCGAAGGCGGCUCACUGGACUGGUAUUGACGCUGAGGUGCGAAAGCGUGGGGAGCAA